rnacentral:rRNA from 1 species
AGGGCGCAUGGUGGAUGCCUUGGCACUAGGAGCCGAUGAAGGACGUGACUAACUGCGAUAUGCUUCGGGGAGUCGUAAGUAGACUGUGAUCCGGAGAUUUCCGAAUGGGGAAACCCAACAGGUUUUGCCUGUUAUCGCUCAAUGAAUUCAUAGUUGAGCUGAAGGUAGACGCGGGGAACUGAAACAUCUAAGUACCCGCAGGAAGAGAAAGAAAAUUCGAUUCCCUAAGUAGCGGCGAGCGAACGGGGAACAGCCCAAACCAGAGAGCUUGCUCUUUGGGGUUGUAGGACUGGACAUCUGAGUUACCAAGAAAUAACGUAGUCGAAUGAUAUGGGAAGAUCAGCCAGAGAAGGUAACAGCCCUGUAAACGAAACGUUGUUUCCUCAGUCCAGGAUCCUGAGUACGGCGGAACACGUGAAACUCCGUCGGAAUCCGGGAGGACCAUCUCCCAAGGCUAAAUACUCCCUAGUGACCGAUAGUGAACCAGUACCGUGAGGGAAAGGUGAAAAGCACCCCGGGAGGGGAGUGAAAGAGUACCUGAAACCAUGUGCCUACAAGUAGUCAGAGCCCGUUAACGGGUGAUGGCGUGCCUUUUGUAGAAUGAACCGGCGAGUUAUGCUAACGUGCGAGGUUAAGGCGGAAAGGCCGGAGCCGCAGCGAAAGCGAGUCUGAACAGGGCGAACGAGUACGUUGGUGUAAACCCGAAACCAGGUGACCUACCCAUGUCCAGGUUGAAGGUGCGGUAAAACGCACUGGAGGACCGAACCCGUGUAUGUUGAAAAAUGCUGGGAUGAGGUGUGGGUAGCGGUGAAAUUCCAAUCGAACUUGGAGAUAGCUGGUUCUCUCCGAAAUAGCUUUAGGGCUAGCCUCGGAGUUGAGAAUCGUGGAGGUAGAGCACUGUUUGGACUAGGGGCCCGUCUUGGGUUACUGAAUUCAGAUAAACUCCGAAUGCCACUGAUUUAUAUCCGGGAGUCAGACUGCGAGUGAUAAGAUCCGUAGUCGAAAGGGAAACAGCCCAGACCACCGAUUAAGGUCCCUAAAUAUGUGUUAAGUGGAAAAGGAUGUGGAAUUGCACAGACAACUAGGAUGUUGGCUCAGAAGCAGCCACCAUUUAAAGAGUGCGUAAUAGCUCACUAGUCGAGUGAUCCUGCGCCGAAAAUGUAACGGGGCUAAACACAUUACCGAAAUCGUGGAUGCAGCUUUGCUGCAUGGUAGGAGAGCGUUCUAAGGGCGGUGAAGCCGGACCGUAAGGACCGGUGGAGCGCUUAGAAGUGAGAAUGCCGGUAUGAGUAGCGAAAGACAGGUGAGAAUCCUGUCCACCGAAUGACUAAGGUUUCCUGGGGAAGGCUCGUCCUCCCAGGGUUAGUCGGGACCUAAGCUGAGGCCGAGAGGCGUAGGCGAUGGACAACGGGUUGAUAUUCCCGUACCGGUCUGAUUUGUUUGAGCAAUGGAGGGACGCAGGAGGCUAACGAUGCGCACUAUCGGAUGUGCGUCCAAGCAGCAAGUCUGUCGGCGAGUCAAAUGCUUGCCGGCUCAAGGACAAGCUGUGACGGGUAUGAACGAUUUAUCGUUCUAAGUGAGUGACGUCACACUGCCAAGAAAAGCUUCUAGUUAGAAUCAGACCGCCCGUACCGCAAACCGACACAGGUAGUCGGGUCGAGAAGACCAAGGUGAGCGAGAGAACUCUCGUUAAGGAACUCGGCAAAAUGACCCCGUAACUUCGGGAGAAGGGGUGCUGAUCGCAAGAUCAGCCGCAGUGAAUAGGCCCAGGCGACUGUUUAUCAAAAACACAGGUUUCUGCAAAAUCGUAAGAUGAAGUAUAGGGGCUGACGCCUGCCCGGUGCUGGAAGGUUAAGAGGAUGGGUUAGCGCAAGCGAAGCUCAGAAUUGAAGCCCCAGUAAACGGCGGCCGUAACUAUAACGGUCCUAAGGUAGCGAAAUUCCUUGUCGGGUAAGUUCCGACCCGCACGAAAGGCGUAACGAUCUGGGCACUGUCUCAACGAGAGACUCGGUGAAAUUAUAAUACCCGUGAAGAUGCGGGUUACCCGCGACAGGACGGAAAGACCCCAUGGAGCUUUACUGUAGCUUGAUAUUGGGUGUUUGUACAACUUGUACAGGAUAGGUAGGAGCCGUAGAAGUCGGGACGCUAGUUUCGACGGAGGCAUCGGUGGGAUACUACCCUCGUUGUAUGAACACUCUAACCCACGCCGGCAAUCACGGCGGGAGACAGUGUCAGGUGGGCAGUUUGACUGGGGCGGUCGCCUCCUAAAAGGUAACGGAGGCG